rnacentral:rRNA from 1 species
CCAAUAGCGUAUAUUAAAGUUGUUGCAGUUAAAAAGCUCGUAGUUGAAUUUCGGGAUCAAUAUAUUGGUCGUGCCUUGGUACGUACUAAUUUAUUGGUUUCUUCCUUCUGAUGAACCAUGAUGUCAUUAAUUUGGUGUUAUGGGGAAUCAGGACUGUUACUUUGAAAAAAUUAGAGUGUUUAAAGCAGGCUCACGCUUGAAUACAUUAGCAUGGAAUAAUGAAAUAGGACGUUUGAUUCUAUUUUGUUGGUUUCUAGGAUCGACGUAAUGAUUAAUAGGGAUAGUUGGGGGCAUUAGUAUUCAAUUGUCAGAGGUGAAAUUCUUGGAUUUAUUGAAGACUAACUACUGCGAAAGCAUUUGCCAAGUAUGUUUUCAUUAAUCAAGAACGAAAGUUAGGGGAUCGAAGACGAUCAGAUACCGUCGUAGUCUUAACCAUAAACUAUGCCGACUAGGGAUCGGAUGAUGUUAAUUUUUUAAUGACUCAUUCGGCGCCUUACG